UCCCCUCAGCUCGAGAGAGGCUAUAUUCAUCUGUGUUAAUCACUGCUAUGUUUCCUGAACAUACCUAUAAAACAUACUGAAGAAGGGUGCCUGAAAUUUCAAUUACACAUUGGCUGUGAAUCUAUAUUUAAGUGCAGAAAUCUGGACUAAAGAUAUAAAUCUGGGGAUCAUCUGCCUAUUUCUCAUAUUUAACUUUGAGACUGGAUCAAAUCACCAGGGACUUCUCCUGGAUUGUGUUGUAGGAAGAGGAUGCUGUACACUUGCUGUGCCCCUCUUUUUUCCAAGGCAUGGAUAACAGUGACCUUUCAGGAAGAGGAAGGAGGUAACCUAAGCAUGGGCAUCAGCUGCUUGGGUGAUCACACAUCAGUCUUGAGGAUGCCAGCUGACCAGCUGUGCUUGCUCACACAGAGUUCAUGGGAAAUGCAAACUGUGUACCACCAUCCAGUUGAAGGAGGGGCAGCUGCUGCCCUCAGGCAGUGGACAAGUCUUCACAGUUAACUUGACUUUUUAAAAUUCAUAAAUUAUUUUAAGUAUUUGUGCUGCCGUAGACUUAAUGAAACAUAUGGAGUGUUUUGUUAUAGAGUCAGGGUUGAAUCCUCCCUCCAAAAUUACUACUUGUAUAAACCAUUUAGAAUCCCUGAGAUUUGGUUAUAGUACAUGCCACACGGGACCAUUCAUAUGUACCUCACAUGGCUAUCUUGAAAGUAAAGUGAGAUUAUACACAUAUGCAUACAUGCACACACUCACAUGCACACAUUUACCAUUGCAACUCAAAUUUAAGUUGAAAUCAGACGGAGUCAAGAUCCUGUUAAUGAUUUUGCAAAGUAUGCCUAAAAGACACCUAAGAUAUUUACUCUAUGAAUCAUGGAGAUGAAGUAGCUUAAGAAAAAGAGGUCAUAUUUUCAAGGAAGUAAGCAUAUGGCAUAAAUGAAUUUCCAUCCAAAGAGUAAAAUAAAGAUAAUUUCUUCAUUGUCUAUGAUUAGGCAUAAUUCCUGCCUCCAUUGUAUCUACUUUAAAGAUAAUGUAAAUCCUAUUUUGGGGGGAUACUCCUUGGUCUGGAUCAUGUCAAGUUUGGGGAAAUGGAGUGAAGUGGAAUAGGGGAUGAGUAUGUAUGUCUAUAAAAUCAUAUGUUAUUGUUAGUGUAUGUGUUGACUCAAUCUUUAGGAAUAUUAACAUCUAAAACCUGCUGCUGCUGUAGAGUAAUUUUGCAGAGAUUCUUUUGUAAGCCAACCUAGCUUCCUCUUUAGGUUCUGCUCUCUCUCCAGUGCUGCUGCCCAGUCUCAUCACCCAGACAUAAUGCUGAAGUCUCUAAAAACUUUUUUAUCCUUGUGUAUCUAAUCUGAGGAAUUUCUUUAUGGCUUAUCACCAAUAGAAUGAAAAUAUAGGAGUAAUUUUCUUGCUUCUUCAGAGAUAUUUUCUAUGUCCAUAAAUGCUUUGUCUUAUCCUUUAUUUCUUAAAAUCUUCCUAAUUAAAGUUAAGAACUUGGUUCUUUCAAAGACAACAGCUAGAAAGAAUGCAGCCUAAUUCUUUAGUCUGCCAUAAGCCUUUAAGGUAACACCCUGAAGCAGUUACCAGCUUGAGAGUUUACAAUGGAAUAGAAAAAAUGUUUCUAGGGAAUGAAAAAUACACAAAAACUUAGGUUAAUAUUUUAGAUGUGCAUUUCACCUACUUACACAUUUAAAACCUUGAAGCAACCAUGGAACUAGGAACCUUAAGAUGGCUUGCAGACACAGAGAGAGUUAAAGGAUGCAUUAAGGUAAUGGACAACACAUUCAAAGAAUGUAGAUAAACAUUGGAAUUUCUCAGAGAUGCUAUGCUCCACAGCAGAUAACUCAAACACGUUUAUCCUAUAUAAUAAUAUCCUGACUUUAGCAGCAGUUUCUACACAAAUGUGUCAUUUUGGAAUAAAAAUGAAAACUUCCACCACUUUAAUGAAAAAUAUCAAAUUGAAGAAACUAAAUUUGGAGAAAUAACCAACUUUUCAUUUUGUAAUUUAGGAGAAGUACAAUAAAAUCUACUAACAUGAAAGAAGAAGGUUGAAGUUCCUGACAGGGACUAUAAUUAAGCAAUAGCAUAUUAUUUUGGUGAAGGGGGAAAAGGAAGAAAAUAAACACACGAAGCCUCUGUAUAUCAAGAAGAAUAUAUAUCUAUGAGACAAAAUAAAAUUUACAUUGUAAAUUACUGGCAGAGGAAGAAGAAUGAUGUGGCAAUUAAAUUUAAGGAGUUAAAAUGUGUAAAAAGCAGGAUUAAGUGAAUGGUGACUAGCAACGGGAAGCAAACAAUGUUGGCAAUUAGUACCCUCUUUGGAAAAUAUUAGGAGGUUAUUUCCUUGAAAUGGAAAUGUGAGAAUUAGAAAUUUAAUUCCUUGACCCAAAUUGUCAAGCUUCCCCAGGUAGGAUAUAGGCAGUGAAAGAGGCAUUACAUUUGACAUUUCAGAGUAUGUUAGUGUCCUUCGAGAGAGUGAUUGUGGUGUACAAUUUUUAAAAGAUAAAGUAUUAAUUAGAGUGUUGUGAGAGGGAAGGAUUCUCAUAUAGAGAUGCAUGGGAAGAGGCAGGGAAGUGAGGCAGAGUGCUUAGGCUUCUUUUCAUGAGGUUUGGUCAUGAGGUAAAGGAAAACGGGACAUCCACUUGAGAGCAAUAAAAGGUUAAAAGUGUAUCCAUUUAGACACUUUUGAACAUGUCUGUCAGAGGGGUGAAGAGACUGUUCCAAAGUAAAGAAUGAAAAUUAAAAAUCAUUGAACAGUGAUGUGAAUAAAAUCCUAGCAGAGGUGAAAUAAGAGGGGGAAGAGCAAGUGCCUUUGAAAAGGUCAGUAUGAUGAUGAAGAUAACUUGGAAGGUUAAAUGUGACUAGAAAAGGAGCACAGAGAAUUUUAGUCUUUGUAACCUAUAUUUUCUCUUGGUAUUGCCGUUUUGGGUAUAUGUACUCGCAACAGAGAAUCUGAC